CUUUGAAGAUUUGAGCACCAAUGGAGGAUUUGUAUCAUUUGAAAUCUAUCCACGACAUGUUGAAGGCAAAAGGCUAGACAAGACAGUAUGGAGCCUAUUGAACUUCUAUGCAUUCAUUAAACAUCAUGUGAAGUGUACACGAAGUUUUAUUCAGCGCAGGAUGAGGAGUC